rnacentral:sRNA from 1 species
AUGUAGCACGCAUACAGUGCAGUUCCUUGAGCGCUGUGCCCUGCAAGCUGACGACUGCUCGCCGUGCGAUGAGUGCAGAGUGUUGUCGGCC